GGAUCCAGACUUUGAUCAUGGCUCAGGAUGAACGCUAGCUACAGGCUUAACACAUGCAAGUCGAGGGGCAGCGGGAUUGAAGCUUGCUUCAAUUGCCGGCGACCGGCGCACGGGUGAGUAACGCGUAUCCAACCUUCCGUACACUCAGGGAUAGCCUUUCGAAAGAAAGAUUAAUACCUGAUAGUAUCAUAAGCACACAUGUAAUUAAGAUUAAAGAUUUAUCGGUGUACGAUGGGGAUGCGUUCCAUUAGGUAGUAGGCGGGGUAACGGCCCACCUAGCCAACGAUGGAUAGGGGUUCUGAGAGGAAGGUCUCCCACAUUGGAACUGAGACACGGUCCAAACUCCUACGGGAGGCAGCAGUGAGGAAUAUUGGUCAAUGGACGAGAGUCUGAACCAGCCAAGUAGCGUGAAGGAUGAAGGUCCUACGGAUUGUAAACUUCUUUUAUAAGGGAAUAAACCCUCCCACGUGUGGGAGCUUGUAUGUACCUUAUGAAUAAGCAUCGGCUAACUCCGUGCCAGCAGCCGCGGUAAUACGGAGGAUGCGAGCGUUAUCCGGAUUUAUUGGGUUUAAAGGGAGCGCAGACGGGUCGUUAAGUCAGCUGUGAAAGUUUGGGGCUCAACCUUAAAAUUGCAGUUGAUACUGGCGUCCUUGAGUGCGGUUGAGGUGUGCGGAAUUCGUGGUGUAGCGGUGAAAUGCUUAGAUAUCACGAAGAACUCCGAUUGCGAAGGCAGCACACUAAUCCGUAACUGACGUUCAUGCUCGAAAGUGUGGGUAUCAAACAGGAUUAGAUACCCUGGUAGUCCACACGGUAAACGAUGGAUACUCGCUGUUGGCGAUAUACUGUCAGCGGCUUAGCGAAAGCGUUAAGUAUCCCACCUGGGGAGUACGCCGGCAACGGUGCAACUCAAAGGAAUUGACGG
rnacentral:rRNA from 1 species